AAGCCAAUGAGGAAUUGCUUAUCAAGUUGGAAUUACCGGCUGAGGUUGUCAAAACCUAAUUCUGAUGCGAAACAACCUGGCUUUCUGAGGCUUAGU